rnacentral:rRNA from 1 species
UACGUAGGGUGCGAGCGUUGUCCGGAAUUAUUGGGCGUAAAGGGCUCGUAGGCGGUUUGUCGCGUCGGGAGUGAAAUCAUCUGGCUUAACUGGGUGCUUGCUUUCGAUACGGGCAGACUAGAGGUAUGCAGGGGAGAACGGAAUUCCUGGUGUAGCGGUGAAAUGCGCAGAUAUCAGGAGGAACACCGGUGGCGAAGGCGGUUCUCUGGGCAUGAUCUGACGCUGAGGAGCGAAAGCGUGGGGAGCGAACGGG